rnacentral:rRNA from 1 species
CUAAAUACACCACCGAAGCUGCGGAUUGAUACCAAUGGUAUCAGUGGUAGGGGAGCGUUCUAAGGACAGUGAAGUCAGACCGGAAGGACUGGUGGAGUGCUUAGAAGUGAGAAUGCCGGUAUGAGUAGCGAAAGACGGGUGAGAAUCCCGUCCACCGAAUGCCUAAGGUUUCCUGAGGAAGGCUCGUCCGCUCAGGGUUAGUCAGGACCUAAGCCGAGGCCGACAGGCGUAGGCGAUGGACAACAGGUUGAUAUUCCUGUACCACCUCUUUAUCGUUUGAGCAAUGGAGGGACGCAGAAGGAUAGAAGAAGCGUGCGAUUGGUUGUGCACGUCCAAGCAGUUAGGCUGAUAAGUAGGCAAAUCCGCUUAUCGUAAAGGCUGAGCUGUGAUGGGGAAGCUCCUUAUGGAGCGAAGUCUUUGAUUCCCCGCUGCCAAGAAAAGCUUCUAGCGAGAUAAAAGGUGCCUGUACCGCAAACCGACACAGGUAGGCGAGGAGAGAAUCCUAAGGUGUGCGAGAGAACUCUGGUUAAGGAACUCGGCAAAAUGACCCCGUAACUUCGGGAGAAGGGGUGCUUUCUUAACGGAAAAGCCGCAGUGAAUAUGCCCAAGCGACUGUUUAGCAAAAACACAGCUCUCUGCGAAGCCGUAAGGCGAAGUAUAGGGGGUGACACCUGCCCGGUGCUGGAAGGUUAAGGAGAGGGGUUAGCGUAAGCGAAGCUCUGAACUGAAGCCCCAGUAAACGGCGGCCGUAACUAUAACGGUCCUAAGGUAGCGAAAUUCCUUGUCGGGUAAGUUCCGACCCGCACGAAAGGUGUAACGAUUUGGGCACUGUCUCAACCAGAGACUCGGUGAAAUUAUAGUACCUGUGAAGAUGCAGGUUACCCGCGACAGGACGGAAAGACCCCGUGGAGCUUUACUGUAGCCUGAUAUUGAAUUUUGGUACAGUUUGUACAGGAUAGGCGGGAGCCUUUGAAACCGGAGCGCUAGCUUCGGUGGAGGCGCUGGUGGGAUACCGCCCUGACUGUAUUGAAAUUCUAACCUACGGGUCUUAUCGACCCGGGAGACAGUGUCAGGUGGGCAGUUUGACUGGGGCGGUCGCCUCCUAAAGUGUAACGGAGGCGCCCAAAGGUUCCCUCAGAAUGGUUGGAAAUCAUUCGUAGAGUGCAAAGGCAUAAGGGAGCUUGACUGCGAGACCUACAAGUCGAGCAGGGACGAAAGUCGGGCUUAGUGAUCCGGUGGUUCCGCAUGGAAGGGCCAUCGCUCAACGGAUAAAAGCUACCCCGGGGAUAACAGGCUUAUCUCCCCCAAGAGUCCACAUCGACGGGGAGGUUUGGCACCUCGAUGUCGGCUCAUCGCAUCCUGGGGCUGUAGUCGGUCCCAAGGGUUGGGCUGUUCGCCCAUUAAAGCGGUACGCGAGCUGGGUUCAGAACGUCGUGAGACAGUUCGGUCCCUAUCCGUCGUGGGCGUAGGAAAUUUGAGAGGAGCUGUCCUUAGUACGAGAGGACCGGGAUGGACGCACCGCUGGUGUACCAGUUGUUCUGCCAAGGGCAUAGCUGGGUAGCUAUGUGCGGAAGGGAUAAGUGCUGAAAGCAUCUAAGCAUGAAGCCCCCCUCAAGAUGAGAUUUCCCAUAGCGUAAGCUAGUAAGAUCCCUGAAAGAUGAUCAGGUUGAUAGGUUCGAGGUGGAAGCAUGGUGACAUGUGGAGCUGACGAAUACUAAUAGAUCGAGGACUUAACC